rnacentral:lncRNA from 10 species
CUUAUUGCAACCUUUGCCUCCUGUGUUCAAGCAAUUCUCCUGCCUCAGCCUCCCAAGUAGUUGGGAGUACAGGCGCCUGUCACCAUGCCAGUCUAAUUUUUGUAUUUCUAGUAGAGAUGGGGUUUCAAAGUGACGAUCAAGUUUAGCGAUAGCCAACACCCUGUCAGCAUCACCAGGAGCUGAGCUUCACCAUAAGUGAUGGGGUCCACAUGCUAGUUGCAUGAUUCCGUACCAAUGUGUGCUUUCUUGGACCAUUCUUGGCACCAGUGAUUGCAGGUUGGGUUACUCAGGAAGCAGAUUAGAGAUUAGCACAUGAGGCAUUUAUUAGGAAAUGCUCUAGGAAUCAGUAUCUGUGGAAGGGAAGGGAAAGAUCAGGAAGGUACAAGGAGAAGUUGAUUUCUUUUAAGUGUCAGUGGAGGCCUUAGCUGAUCCUACUGGUUGCUCUGAAGCUGGGAUGAUUCUUCAGAGUUGUUCUGAUUUGGAGCAAGGAGCUGGGCCUUUAUUUCCCAGCACCACUUUAUUUCCUUACUGCACUGGCU